UACGUAGGGUGCAGGCGUUAUUCGGAAUUACUGGGCGUAAAGCGUGCGCAGGCGGUUUGCUAAGUCAGGUGUGAAAUCCCCGGGCUUAACCUGGGAACUGCGCUUGUAACUGGCAAGCUAGAGUGUGGCAGAGGGGGGUGGAAUUCCAGGUGUAGCAGUGAAAUGCGUAGAGAUCUGGAGGAACACCGAUGGCGAAGGCAGCCCCCUGGGCUAACACUGACGCUCAUGCACGAAAGCGUGGGGAGCAAAAGGG
rnacentral:rRNA from 1 species